GAUGAACGCUGGCGGCGUGCUUAACACAUGCAAGUCGAACGAAGCACUUUAUUUGAUUUCCUUCGGGACUGAUUAUUUUGUGACUGAGUGGCGGACGGGUGAGUAACGCGUGGGUAACCUGCCUUGUACAGGGGGAUAACAGUUGGAAACGGCUGCUAAUACCGCAUAAGCGCACGGCAUCGCAUGAUGCAGUGUGAAAAACUCCGGUGGUAUAAGAUGGACCCGCGUUGGAUUAGCUAGUUGGUGGGGUAACGGCCCACCAAGGCGACGAUCCAUAGCCGACCUGAGAGGGUGACCGGCCACAUUGGGACUGAGACACGGCCCAAACUCCUACGGGAGGCAGCAGUGGGGAAUAUUGCACAAUGGGCGAAAGCCUGAUGCAGCGACGCCGCGUGAGCGAAGAAGUAUUUCGGUAUGUAAAGCUCUAUCAGCAGGGAAGAUAAUGACGGUA
rnacentral:rRNA from 1 species